UUAGUGGAAGCGUCUGGAAAGGCGCGCGAUACAGGGUGACAGCCCCGUACACAAAAGCGCAUGUGCUGUGAGCUCGAUGAGUAGGGCGGGACACGUGGUAUCCUGUCUGAAUAUGGGGGGACCAUCCUCCAAGGCUAAAUACUCCUGACUGACCGAUAGUGAACCAGUACCGUGAGGGAAAGGCGAAAAGAACCCCGGCGAGGGGAGUGAAAAAGAACCUGAAACCGUGUACGUACAAGCAGUGGGAGCACAGGUUUACCUGUGUGACUGCGUACCUUUUGUAUAAUGGGUCAGCGACUUAUAUUCUGUAGCAAGGUUAACCGAAUAGGGGAGCCGCAGGGAAACCGAGUCUUAACCGGGCGUUAAGUUGCAGGGUAUAGACCCGAAACCCGGUGAUCUAGCCAUGGGCAGGUUGAAGGUUGGGUAACACUAACUGGAGGACCGAACCGACUAAUGUUGAAAAAUUAGCGGAUGACCUGUGGCUGGGGGUGAAAGGCCAAUCAAACCGGGAGAUAGCUGGUUCUCCCCGAAAGCUAUUUAGGUAGCGCCUCGUGAAUUCAUCUCCGGGGGUAGAGCACUGUUUCGGCUAGGGGGYCAUCCCGGCUU
rnacentral:rRNA from 1 species